CUCCGCCCACUGCCAGCAGGUCAGAGGGCACGCGGAGUCCGCGCCGCCGCACUAGCCCCCGAGGCUGCCUGCGCCAUUUUCGAAAAGGUCACCACCCGGAGUUCGGGGGGCUAAAAGCCUGGUGGGGAGUCCUUCACCCCUACCCCGGACUGGAAGGAUGCGCCCUGCGGGAGGAACGCGUGUAUCGCUGUGUAAUCUUGCUGCAUCGCCCUGGGAGCUUUAAUUUCUAUAGUGCCGUGGUACUUUGACAUCGAUCGCCUGACGCCUCUUAACAGCAUGGCGAGUUCCUAAGAGGCGGGUGCACACCACGCCAUGCCAGACAGGACUGCACCAGGGCCCGCCAGGAGGCAGCAGGAACAAACAAGGGAAGAGCGAGGGCAGAAGACUGUGUUGUGCUUUUCACAGCGAGGAACAGGCAAGACAAGGUCCCCCACAAAAGGCUGAACCAAGGCCCCAGGCAGAACGAGUCCAUGGGAAUUCUGUCUCCAUGUAGCUGUGCCAUCCCAAACAUCAGAGUCCCAGUUUCUAGCCUCAUCAAAAGGGAUCCAAAUCCAGCUGGGGCAUCAGGGCUCCGAGGCCCCACCUCCCGCCAUCAGGAGUGCCCUUCCCUCCAGAUGGCACGUGAGCACGCACAACCACAAACCACGGUUAGAGUCUGCAUAAACGUCUACCCUUCCUCUUCUGGAUAACUGAAGAGCUCUGGUUAAAGCAAGCAGCUCAGCUUCCUGGGCUGAAGUCCUAGGCAGCAGUGUGUUCAGUGACCAUGACCAUCGCAUAUCCAGCCCUUCGCUGUCCGUAAAGCUGCUCCCACCAGUGAAAAUAUCCCAGCCUGGUCUGGCAUUGGCCGAUCUGACAUAUUUAUCCUGCUAGAAUAGACAGCCUCUAGAACCUCUCAUCAGUCACGCUGCAAAGGCUCAUUCUCUUCGGCUAUAACAGGGUGGCAGGAUUAAGAAUAGACACCGUCUUUGAUAACAAAUUGCAAAUAGCUGGUACUGCCCCGAGGCAAGGUGGCCACCCUCUCACAAUAUUGUCCAGUGGCUUUACAGGUAUACCACUGGUCGUGGCACCUGUACUAAGAAAAAGUUACUUGGGAGGACAGAAAAGGUAGCUCCAGUCUCAAUUUUAAAAAAAGAAUCGAGUCCCCACUGUCAAUUUUACCUGGGGCUCCUGUGGGGAAUAUUUGGAUUGAGCUACUAGUGAAGGAGGGGGCUCCGGCCCCUCCUUUGUCUCUGAGUAGUAGAAAUUGCCCUGCCCCGUCUAUGGGUGCCCUCUGGCCAAACUGAGUUCCCUACCGGGUCUUAGAAGGAGAGACCAUGCCCUCCCCUGAGUCAUAACCUCGAGGGCAUGGGACUGAAGCCACUCAAGCCCUCCUGGCCCCUCUCUGCCUGCCUCAGCCAGGAUCCACACAGGCCUCCAGCAGGGGCCCAUCGGCGUGAGCUCCAGCGCAGCCAAGCCCAUGGGGUCUUUCUGUGGAUUGUGAAUUAAAAUAAAAUCUUAAGGCUCACCUCCCCCCCCACCGGCUGACUGAAUGGACCCUCUCAUGACC